UUUAAAUAUAUAUACUUUGAAAAUAUAUAUUUUAUACAUUAAACACAAAGAUAUUAAAUACACUAAAUAUAUACUUUGUACAUUAUCCACAAAAAUGAAAUGAAAAUUUAUUUUUCUUAAUAUGAUAAUUUAUAAAGACUGUAAUAGUGAGGCAUUGAACCUGGUUCCUUGUAUUGGCAACCUGUCAUUUAACCAAAUGCAGCCACCUGGCUGACUAUAAGUAAUAUUAAUUAUGGAAUUAUAUGAGAAAAUGUUUUGAAAAUAAUUUUAUUUAAAAAAAAUUUACCAAAUGACAUGCAUUAUAUAAUUAAUUGAAUACAGUAUUUAAUUUAUAUUUUUAUUUAUUGCAUUUGUUAAGUUUAUUAUAGCUUGAAUUUUCUUUUCUUCAAUUUCUUUAUAUGUUUCCAGUUCCUUUUGUUAAAAUUUCAAAUAUUCUUUGAACCAUUCUGGACACUUAUCUGCUUUUCUUUUUCUUUUCUGUGAUGAAGGCUCACACACAUUAACUGCAGAAAUAUUUGUGCUAGGAUUGUUGCUUGUAAUAGUAGUAGUGGCUGUAACAGCUGAAUUUAUAUUUAUGCUCUUCUCUUGAACCAGACAUUAAGUUUGUGGAGGAGGAUCAAUUAUAUGAAAAUAAGGCCAUGUUAUGGCUCCCUCUACACUAGAUUUUUGUUUUUGUUUGUUCCGGCGAUACGUCGACAUCAAAUUCCUGUAUUUGCUAUCAUAUGCUGUUCCAGAAAUUUGUAUUUUAGCAACAGAAUUUCUUUCUGCUGCAAUGGUGUUCUACAGUUUUAUUUUUUUGUGACGUGGUCGUUGAAAAUCAGCAUAAUUUUGUUUAUCUGGAUGUGAUUAAUAAUUUAACUAACUGAUCAUUCCAAUUAUCUGUCGGAAAGAAAUAAAAAAUAUCAAUUAAAGCAGAAACUGCUAUUUUAUAAGAGUGCAUUUAAUGAUAAAUAAGAAAAUGGAUAAUCUAAGUCUAAUUUAAAGUUAUUAUAUAUAGAACAUUAAUUACCGUUAAGCACUGUACUUUAUUUAUAAUAAAUCUAGCUCUGUUAGAUUUAUUA
rnacentral:lncRNA from 1 species